GCUGCUUGGUUGGGCACUUAAUCGGAUAUUCCAGUCGGUUUGGAUUUCUGCCACGGGGAGCGAAGGCUCGAAAAGAUGCCCCGCAUUGAGGAUGGGUACGAACCAAAGGUUCGGUGGCUUCGCGGGCGCCCUUCCAGACUCUCAAACCUGGAUUUUGGCAGCAGCCGUUGUAGAGGCCGCCGUGGCCUUCGCCACAGCCCAGGCCACACCAGGCCGAGUGGAGACGGUGGGGGGAAUCGAGAUCCCAUCACAGACUCGUAUCUAGGGGACGCGGAGGGCCAGGUCUCUGUAAGACAGCAUGCAAUUUCUCCAUAAUUUGGACGAAGGCGUGAGUAAGACCGAGGUGGAGCGUCUUUUUGCAUUAUUGGGCCUAGGGGGGCACCAUUACGAAGCACCAGAAGAAGGGGGUUAGGGCCAGCAUGAGUGUGUUUCGUCCGUUUGCAUCAAGAUGCUGUGCGUACCCCAGGUACAAACGAGAAGAUGAAGACCCAGUUAAAUUGACCUUGCCGUCCCUUGCAACCAGGCCAAAUGCAUUUACAAGCAACUGUGGAAUCUACGGGAAAUGGCAAUCCCGAGAAAUUUCAUGCGGGCAAGAGGUGGUUUGAGUUUUAAAAUCGCUACUAUCUGCGGAAUGCGAGGUUGACAAGGGAAGAACCAUUACAUGUUGAGUCGACCCCCAAGUAUUCCAGUCGUCUGCAGAGUCUGAUCAGCGCGUAAGGCUUAAGUGCCUCAACACCGGGAGAUAGAGCCUGUUUGGACAAUGCACGCCUUCACGUACUAGAGAGAGAAAGACAACCAUCUAGAAAGGAAGCUAAAGACACGAUUUCCCUCUCUCGUUUUGGUGAUAAAGUGAUAAACCUGUAGCUACCUUACAAAAACAAAUCCCACCAAUUUCAAGGAGAAAGGUUUUUGGAGCCCUCCUUAUUUCCGAUUACAUCUCAAAGUAUCAAGUCACCACUGCCUUCUCAACGGAUUGAUAUCACAAUUGCUUUGUUCUUCCAAGCCCAACGCUAUUUAACAAAUCGUGAAUUUAGAGUGUUGCUAAUUGUGCACAGAAGACCCAGUCACCCAAAGUGUUACAACACUUUAUUCUGUUUAGCAGAGGUGAUGGUAUUACCUGAAAAUCUAAGAACUUGUUAAAAUGUGAACACUGAUUCAGUAUAUUGAGGGGGGAAUGCAAAUACUCAGCAAGGGUGUAGAGCCUUAAAGAACAAAUGGCAGGUCUGAAAUUAACCAGGCUCAUUUACUCGUCCUUAAGAUCUGGAAUCCAAAUAAUUGAAGCAGAUACUACACCAAACAGUGGCAAUUCAGACUGUUCUUAUAGCCCACCUACUGCCUGGAGUCAACUCUGACUCACGGUGACUUUAGAUAGGCUUUCCAAGGCUGUAAAUCUAUAUGGAAGCAGUUAGCCUCAACUUCAUCCGCAGAGCAGUUUGUGUUUUGAAGCAUCCACCUUGCGUUUAACAGACCAGUUCUCAAUAGUGCCACUAGGGCUCCUUUGCUUUGAAGACUGCCAAAGCCACAAAUGCAGAAUUCAAUUUUUGGAAUUUAAUCUUGGACCUGGAGACAGUAAAAAAAAAAACCAACCUGGACUGAAUGAAGGAAGAAGAAAAUCUCAGAGGCUUCUUCCUAAGUAGCAUUUCAUUUCUUGCCAUCCUUCCCCGUUACCCCACUAUCACCUUCAUUGCCCACCCUCAUCCUGAUACCAUCCAGACACCCUUACCGUGUAGUCACUCACCAAAUGCAUACUGCAUUGUGCAGGGUCCUGUGCUAAGCCCUCGAUAUUGCAGGAAAUCAUGCCAGGAUCUGAGGCCCGCCCAAUUUCGUUAAAUGCUUCAACGGGUGUGCACGGCGCCUUAGCCGAAUAGAAGAAUGGUGGGUUCUGGGAAAAGCUGCACGAACUGCGGCCUGGGAAGACGGAAGAGUUUACGUGGAAGGGCGGUAGAGAGCCAGCGUGUUCAAAGCCAACGAGGGUUAGAAGGCAGCUCCAGGGAGGGGGAGCUCUGUGGCCUGUUGGGGCCCCUGAAGUGGCAGAGCAGCAUGGCUCUGGAGGUUUGUUCAUCUGAGAACUGCAUCGCUAGGAAUUCGGUUUGCUUGGACCAGGAGGGAAAGUACUUUUCUUUUUGUAGGGUGUGUGGGUUUCCGGAGCGGUUGUCUGUUGCGGAUUCCGCUGGCCCUCCCACUGUUUUCUUCCCGGCGGGGCGGGGCCGUGCGGCCCGCAGCAGGUGCAAAGUGGCAGUUGAAGGCCACGGGCAGUUCCGCUUGGGACGGCCCCUGGCCCUGGUUGCUGCCGCGGCAAAGACGCCAUGGACAAGCUGGGUUCGCGGUGCCCUCUGCCCAGCUGCCCGCGGCCCUCUGCCCUCGUGUGCUUCCUGAUCCUGGCAGCUUCCUUCCUGACAUACCCCAUGCUCCGGAACCUUACCCUGCAGCUCCAUUCAACUGUCACUGGCAGCUAUGUCUCGGGCACACACUCCAUUGUCUUUGCCAACUGUCCCAAUGAGCAAAUUGCCAGAGACAUUGCCAGGGCCCUGCUGGAUAAGAAACUGGCUGCCUCUGUGAACAUCCUUCCCAAGGCCGCUUCCCUGUACUUUUGGAAGGGAGAGAUAGAAGAAGUCACUGAAAUCCUAAUGUUAAUAAAGACAAAGACUGCCAAGGUCCACUUGCUUUCCAGCUACAUCAGGUUGUUGCAUCCUUUUGAAAUCCCAGAGGUCUUCAGUUUUCCCAUGGACCAAGGAGAUGGGCACUUUUUUAAGUGGCUUGAGGAGGGCGUGCAGGAAAACUGAGUGGGGGAGAAUGAGGCUUUUUGUGCAUCUGGCUGGCUGCCUCUAGCCCUCACCAGCUGCACUUUGAAGUGCAUUGCUGAACUCCCUGUUCCUGUCAACACAGAAGAGCGAAGGGCUGCGGCUGGGCCAGUCAGGCCAAGCAAGAACCUAAGGAAACGUCUCUUGGAAUGCUUCAGGCGUGAAGGUGGCUAAGGGAUCGAGGAGCGAGGCUGGUUGGUUGUGUAGAGAAGCCAGGAGGAGGUGGCAAUGAAGCUGAAGUUUGUCAUCGUCUUCAACCACUGGAACUGCGUUGUUUGCUUGGGAGGGUGGCUGUCUCCCUGGAGAUGCCAGGUGGACCCCGAGAGCCUGCUCUAGUCAACGCUAACGGAUGAGACCCCAGGAGCUAGGUCUGUGGCCCUUUGGUUGGAUUUCAUCUUUUGCUACACACCGCUGAUCCGGAGACCCCCGGUGUCACUGCCGUUCCUCAGGUGGGAGGGGUCACUGGGCCUGUGCGGUGAACCGGCCUCUGUGCCCACUGCCCUUUCCGAAUGACGCCGAGGGCACUAGUGCGAAGACUUAGGCUGGGGUUGCCAGCUGAGGAACAGCUCCUCAGGAUGUCUCAGAAGUGAUUCUCGAAUCCCAAUCCCUUGGGAAAAAUUAAAAAGCCAGCCCAGGAACAAGUACUACCAUUCUCUUGUAUUAAGAGGGAGCAUCCUAGAGAUGUUACUGGUUUGAAGGAACUGUCAUCCAAAAAAAGAAACGGGAGUAGGCAGGAAACUCGACGUGGAUGGACACCAGGACAGAAGCAAGUCGGUCAGAAAUGACCACCAUCCGUUCGGGUCCCGCCUGUACUUACUGCCGCGUUCUAUUAUGUGCGUGUGCGCCAACCAUCUGCCAGCUAUGACGAGUCAUUUUGUGAAUGAGAGAUUGACAGACAGCCCUGUGUACAAGUGCUGUGAGUGGUGUUCCCGGAAAUGACUUGGGAGCAAAAUACAUUCCGUUGGUAAUUUCGA